AAAUUUUUGACAAAAAUGGACCACUAGACAAGGUACGGAUUUAAGCAUUCUGAUACAUGUUCUUGGCCAUAAUUUCACGUAGAACACGAUUCGCGCAACGAAAAUUACCGAAAUCAACUCCUAACAAAGAUUUUAACGUUUUCAUUUCACAUUGGGCACGAGGACUUUAAACUGCCCGCUCAUAAGAAACUCAAAGAUCUACGUGAGUCAAAUCGUGCACUACAACGGUUUCAGCAAGCCUCUCAAUCGAGCAAUGUUCAUUUCCCACCAUGUGUUGUUCAAACUAUAAACAACUUGCUGUAGCUGAGCAAGAGCGUCAAGAUUGAGGUUGCCAGAUUUUUAUAUCGCAGAGACUGUCGUGAUAACGUUUAGCGCGCGAUGUGAGUCACGUAGAUCAUUGAGUUUUCAUGAGCGGGUGCUUUGAAUUCACGCAUCAAGAAUCAUUAAAUAUCUUCGUAAGGAGUUGAUCUCGGUAAUUUUCGUUGUGCGCAUCGUGUUUUACGUGAAAUUUUGGUCAUAAAACGUGCAUCAGAAUGCUGAAAUUCGUGCCUUGUCUACUGGUCCAUUGUAAAAUUUGACGUUUAUUUCUUGAAAAUAUUAAUUUAAGGGGUGCGUUUUCACGAAAACCUUUCGAGAAGACCAACGAAACUACUUUUCAAGCAUCUAAAUUUUAUAUGAAUUAAAAUAUACGCUUUGAAAGUUUUUAAAUCAUGUCCGACCACUCCCAUUGACCCGAUCCACUGUGCGGCGACGCACCACGCACUGUCGUUUGUUCCUAUCUGUCGCACGCUCUAGCUCCCCCGAUCCUCCGAGGUGUGAGGGUGGAAGCUGUGCGCUACGGCCCGACCGGGGGGGGGGGUGUAAACCGGUGACGUAGGGGGGACGGGGGACGGGAUGCACUACGCGAUACGGCGGGUUCCUACGGGAGCUUUAUUUAGUUUUCUCCGGGCAUCCGCUAUGACAAGACGCUCGCUGUCGCGAUGUUCACCCGCCGCGCGUAUUUCGCUCACGUGCUUGUGUUAUUUUUAAACUCGCCACUCAUUUUCGCCAGUUUAGAGGGUAACUGUUGUUCGAGGGCCGAAGGUGCAUGCCGAAGUGCUUGUGAGCAGCCGGGACAACGCGACUUCGAUUUUAGCGCCUGGAUACAACUAUUCCACCUCGGGGGAUGUCCGUAUUGCAUAUGCAAGAAAGUGAAGGCGUUUUUUCCCUUUUCCUUGCGCUUAUGCUUGCCGCACCGCAUCACCGUGUGGGAGAAAGACAGACAAUUUGCAAUGCAAUAAAAUUGCAAGAAAUAUCAAUAUGAGGAGCCCAUUCAACUAGUGA
rnacentral:lncRNA from 1 species